rnacentral:rRNA from 1 species
AAUUUUGUACAAUGGGGGAAACCCUGAUCCAGCCAUCCCGCGUGUUUGAUGAAGGCGUUCGGGUUGUAAAGUACUUUUGUCGGAGAGGAAAAGGCAUUCCUUAAUACGGGAGGCUGCUGAUUGUAUCUGCUGAAUAAGCACCUCCUGACUACGUCCCAGCAUCCGCGGUAAUACGUAGGGUGCAAGCGGUAAUCGGAAUUACUGGGCGUAAAGCGUGUGUAGGCGGUUCGGAGAGAAAGAUGCGAAAUCCCAGGGCUCAACCUUGGAACUGCAUUUUUAACUGCCGAGCUAGAGUAUGUCAGAGGGGGGUAGAAUUCCACGUGUAGCAGUGAAAUGCGUAGAUAUGUGGAGGAAUACCGAUGACGAAGGCAGCCCCCUGGGAUAAUACUGACGCUCAGACACGAAAGCGUGGGGAGCAAACAGG